rnacentral:rRNA from 1 species
ACGUAGGGGGCAAGCGUUGUCCGGAUUUAUUGGGCGUAAAGAGCUCGUAGGUGGUUCGGUAAGUCGGAUGUGAAAUCUCCAGGCUCAACCUGGAGGGGUCAUUCGAUACUGCCGUGACUAGAGUUCGGUAGGGGAGUGUGGAAUUCCUGGUGGAGCGGUGAAAUGCGCAGAUAUCAGGAGGAACACCCGUAGCGAAGGCGGCACUCUGGGCCGAUACUGACACUGAGGAGCGAAAGCGUGGGGAGCGAACAGGA